rnacentral:rRNA from 1 species
UCCAUGAAGUUGGAUUCGCUAGUAAUCGCGCAUCAGCCAUGGCGCGGUGAAUACGUUCCCGGGCCUUGUACACACCGCCCGUCAAGCCAUGGAAGCUGGGGUGCCUGAAGUUCGUGACCGGAAGGAGCGACCUAGGGCAAAACCGGUGACUGGGGCUAAGUCGUAACAAGGUAAC